rnacentral:rRNA from 1 species
UACAGAGGUCCCGAGCGUUGUUCGGAUUCACUGGGCGUAAAGGGUGCGUAGGCGGAUGUUUAAGUCUGCUGUGAAAGCUCCGAGCUCAACUCGGAAAAUGCAGUGGAUACUAUUCAUCUAGAGGUGUGGAGGGGGGACUGGAAUUCUCGGUGUAGCAGUGAAAUGCGUAGAGAUCGAGAGGAACACCAGUGGCGAAGGCGAGUCCCUGGACACCACCUGACGCUGAGGCACGAAAGCUAGGGGAGCAAACAGG